rnacentral:sRNA from 1 species
UCUAUUUUUACUAAAGGAUUUCAAAACAAUCCUUCCAAGAACUCCAGAGUUUCAAAUUUAGCAUGCUGGUCAUUUGAGACAAUUUUAAUAUUAGCUCACAGUGUAUACCUUUGUGCCAAAAGAUAAUUUUAUUUCCGUUGAAAUCCAGUGUUUAAAAACCACAAGGCAAAUCGUUUACUCACAACACAUAUAUGUUAAUGAUACGCACCAGUAGAGUGGCAACCUGGAGAAAAGACAUGGUGAAUGGUGGCUGAAAACAGGAAAGGAAUGCAGUGUCUGUGCCUCCAACUGUUCUGGUUUAAUUUACUUAUCAUUAGAAAACAACACAGACAAAACAUAGCCAGCGUUGACUAGUGGAAAUUAUGAUCAUAGAUGAACAUAGAUGAAUACAUUUGAUCAGGCCGUUUGCAGAGGGAGGCGCAUGCACUGAUUUUCCUGAGCAAUCGUAGCCAGCUUACUUUCUUCACUUUCCUAACGAACCCUUUGAAAUAGAGGACUUCAGAAGCAAUGGGAAAUGGGGCAGGGGCUUGGUCCCCGAAGAGAUGGCUCUGCUCUCUAUGCUAGCGGUUUUUACAAGAGUGCAGGGGAAAUGGGUAAUUGGCCCAGAGUCACACACUCCUGACUCACGAAGUUGCUGUGAUCACUCCUGGCUUCCCCCAAACAAGCACUUCUCUCUCUACUCACUGGAACAAACGGAAGUCUCCAACAGUGGUGAACAGGACCCCUUUCAUCUCGAGGCUUGGCUGAAGCAAGCAGCCAGUAUUCCUGACACACUGAGGUCUCUUGUCUGAUGUCCUCCCGUUGUUGGAUGAAGCUCUGCUUUGAAAAAACUGCCAGGAGCAGGAACGCUGUGCUCCCUCUCCUCAGUGUGCUCUUUGUUCACCGUUACUCCAGAAGACGCACGAAGACAAGUCACACGAAGUAAGAGCAUUCCAGGCUUGGAUGGCUGUGUAGGCCAGAGCUUUCAUGACUUCAAAGGAAAAGUUGAUCCUUACUGGGUGCUGCAGCACAGAGUCCUAGAAACAAACAAACAAACAAACAAAAGACUGAGUGGCUGCCUCCUCUUCAGUGAGAUUCCAUUAACCUUAAUACCAACCUAAGUAACAAUGACAGCAGCAAAAGAAUUUGUGGUCGCUUUAGCAAACAGACAAUGCAAAAGAGACAUUACUCUGAAGAGAACUGCUCCUCCGAAUCCUGAUCUAGAAAGCCCUCACAGGACAGGUUAAGCCUUCCUUUGGGUGAGAGACUCUCCUAUUGGAACUGAUAAAAUACUCAGUCAUGUUGGAGAAGUCCGUGUGGAAGAAACUAAAACGCCUUAAGAAUUGUGACUGGCUUCUUAGACUUAGGCUAUGGCCUCCAAUGGACAGAUAGCAAAGCAAGAAAAAAAUCCACGAGAAACAGACCUUCACCAACAACCUGCGCGAGCACCAGCCAAGCCCGCAGAAGAAAUGACUGCAGUCUGAUGCACUGGGGCGACGUCCCAGCUAAGGUUUGCCACGCUUGGACUUCAAACCUACAGAGUGAGGUUGAUGUUAUCUCAAGUGGCUUCACUUGGCAAUUCUUUGUUUCACAACAAUAAAGAAUGAGUACAUCUUCUAUAAGUUGUUUCUCCAUGUUUACAACCUGUCAUUUUUGUGGGAUUGCAUUGUCUUAAACUGGGGCACAAUGAGGUGAAAGGAGUGUCCCAUUGCCGUACACCGGUAAGAAAUGCAGCCAAGUUUUGAACCCAAGACUUCUGGCUCCAGAGUCUGUAAC